GACGAACGCUGGCGGCGUGCUUAACACAUGCAAGUCGAACGGAAAGGCCCUGCUCUUGUGGGGUUGUCGAGUGCCGAACGGGUGAGUAACACGUGUGUAACCUGCCCUUGUCUUUGGGAUAACUUCAGGAAACUGGGGCUAAUACCGCAUAGGAUCUCCUGCUGCAUGGUGGGGGUUGGAAAGUUUCGGCGGUUGGGGAUGGAAUCGCGGCUUAUCCGCUUGUUGGUCGAGUAGUGGCUUACCAAGGCUUUGACGGGUAGCCGGCCUGAGAGGGUGACCGGCCACAUUGGGACUGAGAUACGGACCAGACUCCUACGGGAGGCAGCAGUGGGGAAUAUUGCACAAUGGGGGGAAGCCAGAUGCAGCAACCCCGCGUGCGGGAAGACGGCCUUCGGGUGGUAAACCGCUGUCGCAGGAGACGAAGCGUGAGUGACGGUAAUGAGUAAAGAAGCACCGGCUAACUACGUG
rnacentral:rRNA from 1 species